GACUAAGAGAGACAAGCCAAGCGGUCGGCUGCAAAAGAAAAGACGAAGCAGAUGCUCGUUCUUGGGGUUUGUGUGUGCCAAUCACACUAGGUCAACACGGGGCCCCCCCUCCCCAUGGGACGACCACGCUGGGCGCUCCCCGGCUACAGAAGCUAACUCUCGGGACGUGCGAUGUCGCCGCGAUCUGAGCCGGCGUACGAGGUGGAGAGGUUCCCGCUGGACGCGCACGCCCUCUUGAAGGGGGUCGGCCUCUGUUCCACUCUUGAGUUGCCCGCGUGCAGAGGCGUCGAGCAUACGCUACUACCGAUAUUGUGAAUAUGACGGUAAUUGGCAAAUGAUGAUUCUUCUUCAAGAACAGGAAAGCCAGAGCCUGGAUUCAAAUCCCCAACCUCAGAACUGCGAGGCUGAUGUGCUGACCACUAGCUCCCCGUGUUGCCCUCACAUUAUAACGCAGAACAGUCAACAAUUAAUAUCUACUCAAUAAAUCUCUCGAUUGGUUGUGUAUAUUAUACAAUACACUUGUAUAU